rnacentral:lncRNA from 1 species
UUUGGGCCCAAGUUUCCUAGUCAGGGGUGCCUAGCCCCAGAGAUCAAUGAAGAGGGUUGUUGGGGAGGAGGCUUUGGGUAGGUGAGGUGCCAAGGCUUCAGAAGAGAUCUGGACGCUGGCUGGAGAGGCAGGAGGAAGGAGGGAAGGCUAUGGGUGCCCCAAGCUGCUGCCUGGCAGGUCCCCGUACCCAGGCUAGGGAAGUUUGUUAUUUCUCCUGCUCCGACUUCCCCCUUUGAUUUAUUAUAGCCAUGAAAUGCUCUGCUCUCUUCUCUUUUCCUUGCUGUACCCCGGGGUUGGAGGAACACAGGCCUCCCCAGGCCCCAGGAUUCAGCCUUACUGGACUACCAUCUCUUUCCAAGGGCAGGGCAUGGGGACCAGGAAUGAGAGCAGUCCCAGUUAGAGCAGAGAAAGAUGGCUGAACAGAGCUGUACGAGCCUCUGACCGUGGCAUCCGGGAAGCAGAAACAGAAGACCUGUAAGUUCAAGGCCAGAAAAAAAAAAAAAAAAGAAUAAAGAAAGAAUAACCCAGAUCGAUAAGGACCUGGUUAUAGAAACCGUGACCACGAGACACUAUCCAGCAACGACAAGAACCACAGCAACAUGCAUCCACACGGGCCACAGGGGCGAUACCCAAGUUCCUGCAAGUUUCCUCUAUCAUUUUCUGUUAUGAAAAUAAAUUAGAAAGCCAGUCUAGGUUAGAGAGGGAGUUCCAGGCUAACCAGACCGGCAUGGGUCAAUUGUAAGUAAGCGAGUACAUUAAAUAAAUAAAAGCGAAGAACUAGAAUGUACAUCUAGACACGUUUAUAAGGAAGAGCAGACAGGGCUGUAGCUGAGUCUUGGCCGGUACUCGCGAGACCUUUAUUUCAAUCCCCAGUACCACAAAGAAGCAGGACUGAGGGACAGGCUGGGAAUCCCAGCUUCUGGAGAAAAUGAGAUGAGUGUGUGUCUGGGGGUGGGCAGGAAGUUCCAGACCUGCUGGGCAAUUCAGUGACAUUUUGUUUCAUAUUAAACUGUAAAGGGAAGCCAGGAAGAUACAACUCAGUGGUAGAGCACUUGCCUGCCUUAUGUGAGGCCCUGGGUUCAGCCUCAGUGCAAGACAGAAAGAAAAAUCAAGGAAAUAAAGUUAGGGUACAGUUCCUUCUAGAAGGAAAUGAGGGGAGGGCACCUAGGGCUUGCUUCAACCUGGGCUUCUCUCUCCUGGCUUUCUUUAACAGCUCCAUUCCCAGACCUGAUGUUCAUGUCUUCGCCCGGGUAAUUAUGUCCCAGGUGUUAACCCCACAGUUAUUUUUCGCCGCCCCUACGUAUGUUCUGUACUCUGUUUUAUGAAUGGUGUCCCAUGGUCUGCAGAUACACAGCCGGACGGGGAGACACACAUUCAGUGCCUCGCUGCUGGGUUUGUUCUUUUCUGUUUUUCAGUACCUGGGAAUCAAACUCGUGGCCUUGCGCUUGUUAGGGAAGCACUCUAAACACUGGGGUACAUCUUCAGCUGUAGUCCUUGCUACUUAUGAGAUUGAGGGUCACUCGAGCCCAGGAAUUUGGGGAUAACCAUCACAAGACACUAUCUCAAUAAAAUAAAUACGUUUUUUAUAUGUAUUUAGUGUGUGUGCAUCGUGGCCUGCGGUGAGGGCGUGCAUGCGAGCUAUGCACAUGUGCGGAGGU